GUGCUAUGAAGAUCCAAUUUUGUGUACCAGAGACGGAUUUCUCGUGAAUCCGUCUGUGACGGCUAGCACAACCCUCUAAGAAGUUCUGAGCCU